CGUCCUCGGUCAUGGACAAGUUCGUAGUAGGUCACACUAUCGGGUGUUGGUCGAAAUGGAGGAUAAAUCUGCUAAUAACUUGUGUGAUAACUAAGAGGAUAUAAGUCAUGUGGUGACUUGGUCUAUGGGAAAAUCGUGACAAGUCAGGAUGAUGUGUUGAUAUGACCCCGAGACUAGGUCUUGGUAAGCCAUGCGUGUGCUCCAAGGAGCCGUGGCAGAGUAAGUGAUUGUUGGGUAAGAUUAAUACAACAUGUCUUCACGGGAGGUAAGUAAUAGUUUAUUUUCAGCAUAGUUUCAUGGUGUCAUGCCAUUAUUUGAUAUGCUAUGCUUUGUUGUUGCUUUGCUGGAAGUUUGUUUGAUAUGCCAUGCUAGUAGAUGCUAUGAUGUGGUUCAUGCUUAGUUUGAUUUAUGAUUCUAGUUAAUAUCAUGCCAUGCUUAGAAGUUGUGUUGAAGUAGACUGUUGCAUAUGCUUGGUUCUUGCUUUGUCAUCUGUUUGUUUGGAUGCUAUGUAUUUGGUUGUCUUGCAAGUACAUUCAAUGUACUGACCUGGCGUGUCAUGCCAGUUUUGUAGGUCGUGCCCGAAUUGUUCGCUUGUUCCGUCGUGCUAGGCCGUAAUCUUGCCAGUCAUGUGAGUUAUGGAGUCCAGCCAGAGUGAGACGCUACCAAAUCAAGACUUCCACCGCCAUUUAAAUAGACUUCCGCCGCCAUUUAAAUAGCCUUAGGGCUAUGCUAGAUAAUUGUAUUCAUCAAUGAUGUAAUCUUAUACACAUAUAUUUGAUGAAUAUUAUUGUACCUGGAAUGCUGUAUCAUGGACCUAUCGUGCUAGAUAAUUGUAUUAAUAGUUCCUUGGAUUCUACACUAAUAAGCAUGUGAUCGAACUCUACACUAAA